CGGAUUUUGGAGUGGUCGCCCUUGGGAAGUCCAUCUACAUCCUGGGCGGCUUCGACAAAGUUCAAGGUCGUUGUUUGACCCGAGUCGUCAGAUACAACCCGUGUACCGACGAAUGGUUCGAAUGUCGAAGCAUGUCUGUGGCCAGAUGUAAAUUUGGGGUCUGUGUUGUUAAAGGGAGAAUAUUUGUCUGUGGUGGAGAGACCGACGAUGGUAAAGUCACCGGAAGUUGUGAGAUCUAUGACCCGGAAACUAACCUCUGGUCCAAAUGCGGAUCUCUCGUGUCGCCUCGGUCUGGCUGCGCAUGCGCAAACAACGGCAAAGAGUUAAUUUGUGCAGGAGGAUACAACGGAGGGAAGGCUCAUAACAACCUCUGGCUGUAUGACAAACACAAAUGGCAGGAAAUCGGCAAAAAUAACCCACACGUCCUUCCAUACAAUCUUCACAGAUGUGCGCUGACAAAGG